rnacentral:tRNA from 1 species
UGGGGAUAUGGCGAAAUUGGUAGACGCUACAGACUUAGUUUUUUUGAUAAAGAUAGAGUCCAGAUAAUUCUGAAAAUCUGUUGGUUCUUUGAACUGUGAGGGUUCAAGUCCCUCUAUCCCUAA